CUCUCUCCCCUCGCUUCCCCAGCCAUGGCGAAGUCUGGCUACCCACGCCGGCGCCUGCCCCAAACCAGACUCACGUCGGCGCCUGGCUCCCCUCACGCGCCCUACGACGCCGUUUGCUCCCCUCCCCCCAUGCCGCCUCGCUUAAACUUGGGUUUCCCCUUGGCGGAUUCCGUCGGGUAAAGGUCAAAAUUUUCCGUCGGUGUCUGUGAGCGGCGUUGCUCAAUUCGUCGAUGGUGCGGUUGGAUCCUUCGAUAGGAGUCUAGAUCCGCCGACGGCGAAGGAUAAGGAGGCUAAAGGCGAAGGUGAAGGACGCCGGUGAAGGCGAAGGAGAAGGAGGCCGACACCUGCUGCUCCUUCGACCAGAUCCGUCGCAGGUGGGCUGCUACCCCAAGGAGGUGGUCAUGGUGGCCGUGGAUGAGUGAAUGAGGAAGCAGUCCGAUUGUAAUCCUUCUCCCAGAUAAGUUUAAGAAGGAUGAAGAUGUCUGAGGAGAACCUGGCCUCCAGGGCCAGCUCAUGCUGAAACGGGAAUUUGAGAGUUUGAAGCUAUCAUGGAGUACCAUGGAACCAACAUUAGUUGCUGGUGUUUGUCAAAGGGCAGUUCACUGAUGGUGAGUGGGCUGAGGAAUAACAUAUGUCGAAAAUGAGGAUGACAAUUAGGUGGAGAGAAGUUGAGGUCUGGAAGAACCAUGGUGAUAUGUUGCGCUGUCGAGCGAGGAAGAAAGUGAUAUGCUGGGCACACGUCGGCGCUCUGUUAGGUGGGUGCUGGGCGCGCGUGGACCUGGAGCUGCUGGUGAGUUGGGUGGCGCAACCAGAUGGUCCGUGGAGGAGGAAGCGCAUGAGGAGGCAGUGCGCGCUCCGAUCCCUGGUGACUCCUGGCCCUGGCGUCUCCUGGCGAAGCCUUGGACGAGGGGCGAUGAGCUUCUACCUAAGGGGACGGCGGUCAGCUUCCUGGAUUGAUCGGACCUGGGACUCACUGGGCGGAGGAAAAGCAUCUGCAGGCCAGAGGUGGAGUCGCUGGGCGGAGGUGGAGCACCUGCUGGUCGCUAGGGUGGAAGAGAAACGGCUCCCAUGCGAGGGAUCGUCGGCCCUGGCAUCUCCUGGCGAAGCUUUGGACGAGGUGCGAUGAGCUUCUACCUAUGGGGACGGCGGCGGCUGCCGGGAUCGAUCAGACAUGGGACUCGCUGGGCGGAGGAGAAGUCCGGAGGUGCAGUCGCUGCCGGAGGUGGAGUACCUGAUGGUUGCUAGGGUGGAGGAGAAGCGGCUCCCAGACGAGGGAUCGUCGUCGAGAUGCGGUGGGAGGAGGACCUGGGCGAGACAGAGAUCGCCAUGAUCGCGAUCUGAUUGUAAUUUCGAAUCAAGGGUAGAAACGUCCUUUUACCGCUUUUCACCUGGUCGGAAAUUUCGCCCGGACGUCUUAUAUUUCUGCACGGAGGGAGUAUA